UGAUGCCGUGAAUUCCACCAUACCACUCUCACCAUGGUGGUCUGUAUGCCCUCAGACCAAAGAUCAAGCAAUGCAGAGGAACCGAGGCAGAAUUUAUGCAUCAGGAUUCAAUGGUAUAACUGAACCUUGACAAUCAUUUGAACAGGAGAAGUUCAAUAUGAGAAAUUGUUAGACAGCAGAAAGUGGACCUCAAUCAACAUGGAAGAGCUGGAGUUCUAGAGGAAUCCAAAUGUGUCACUUGUAAGUCAGGCAUGGUAGCACACACCCAGUACUCAGGAAGCAAAGGCUGUUCAGGG
rnacentral:lncRNA from 1 species